UAGGGAAUCUUCGGCAAUGGGGGGAACCCUGACCGAGCAACGCCGCGUGAGUGAAGAAGGUUUUCGGAUCGUAAAGCUCUGUUGUUAAGGAAGAACGAGUGUGAGAAUGGAAAGUUCAUGCUGUGACGGUACUUAACCAGAAAGGUACGGCUAACUACGUGCCAGCAGCCGCGGUAAUACGUAGGUCCCGAGCGUUGUCCGGAUUUAUUGGGCGUAAAGCGAGCGCAGGCGGUUAGAAAAGUCUGAAGUGAAAGGCAGUGGCUCAACCAUUGUAGGCUUUGGAAACUGUUUAACUUGAGUGCAGAAGGGGAGAGUGGAAUUCCAUGUGUAGCGGUGAAAUGCGUAGAUAUAUGGAGGAACACCGGUGGCGAAAGCGGCUCUCUGGUCUGUAACUGACGCUGAGGCUCGAAAGCGUGGGGAGCGAACAGG
rnacentral:rRNA from 2 species